UACAGAGGUCCCAAGCGUUGUUCGGAUUUACUGGGCGUAAAGGGCGCGUAGGCGGUCAGCACAAGUCAGUUGUGAAAUCUCCGGGCUUAACUCGGAAAGGUCAACUGAUACUGUGCGACUAGAGUGCAGAAGGGGCAACUGGAAUUCUCGGUGUAGCGGUGAAAUGCGUAGAUAUCGAGAGGAACACCUGCGGCGAAGGCGGGUGCUGGGCUGACACUGACGCUGAUGCGCGAAAGCCAGGGGAGCGAACGGG
rnacentral:rRNA from 1 species